rnacentral:rRNA from 1 species
GCGGGUAUCUUGACCGUGCAAAGGUAGCACAAUCGAUUGUUCCUUAAAUAGGGACCAGUAUGAAUGGCACCACGAAGGCUUAGCUGUCUCCCCCCUCUAAUCAAUGAAACUGAUCUUCUCGUGAAGAAGCGAGAAUUUAUAUAUAAGACGAGAAGACCCCAUGGAGCUUUAAACGCAUCACCACCUAACUCAUAUUAACCAUAUUAAAGUAGUAGCGCUGUUCUAGAUAGUUUUCGGCUGGGGCAGCCCCGGAGUAAAAUAAAUCCUCCAGAAUUACACAAAAAAGAACAAAAAUCUCAGUUCAAGAACCACAAUUCUAAAAAUCAAAAUCUUGAUAUUAAUGAUCCAAACCUGAAUCUUUGAUCAAUGAACCAAGUUACCCUGGGGAUAACAGCGCAAUCCAUUUCUAGAGACCUUAUCGACAAAUGGGUUUACGACCUCGAUGUUGGAUCGGGGUACCCAGGUGACGCAGCCGUUACCAAUGGUUCGUUUGUUCAACGACUAAUACCCCACGUGAUCUGAGUUCAGACCGGA